rnacentral:rRNA from 1 species
UACGUAGGGUGCAAGCGUUAAUCGGAAUUACUGGGCGUAAAGCGUGCGCAGGCGGUUAUGUAAGACAGAUGUGAAAUGCCCGGGCUUAACCUGGGAACUGCAUUUGUGACUGCAUGGCUAGAGUUUGGCAGAGGGGGGGUAGAAUUCCACGUGUAGCAGUGAAAUGCGUAGAUAUCGUAAGGAAGACCAGUGGCGAAGGCGGGUCGUCUGGACAGUUCCUGACGCUGAAGGCAC